UGGUGGUGGUUUACAAAGUAAUUCA
rnacentral:miRNA from 1 species